AUUGAACGCUGGCGGCAUGCCUUACACAUGCAAGUCGAACGGCAGCACGGGGCAACCUGGUGGCGAGUGGCGAACGGGUGAGUAAUGCAUCGGAACGUGCCAUUGAGUGGGGGAUAACGUAGCGAAAGUUGCGCUAAUACCGCAUAUUCUGUGAGCAGGAAAGCAGGGGACCGCAAGGCCUUGCGCUCUUUGAGCGGCCGAUGUCAGAUUAGCUAGUUGGUGAGGUAACGGCUUACCAAGGCGACGAUCUGUAGCGGGUCUGAGAGGAUGAUCCGCCACACUGGAACUGAGACACGGUCCAGACUCCUACGGGAGGCAGCAGUGGGGAAUUUUGGACAAUGGGCGCAAGCCUGAUCCAGCCAUGCCGCGUGAGUGGAGAAGGCCUUC
rnacentral:rRNA from 1 species